UAUCGUCUCCCCCCAUUGGUCUGUGAGGACAGGAAUGCCUUUGUAUCCCCAGGACUUAGCACAAUGUUGGUAUAUAGUAGGAGUUUAAUAAAUGCUUGUUCUGGAUUGAAGUAGACUUACAUGAGCGGGGCUGCCUGAACACUGAAGAAAAGGACUGUCAUUUCCAAUCAUCCUAACAAACAUGAAUUACACCCGAUUCAUCACAGCAGUCAGUGCAGCAAGAAAGCCAUCUCCAAUAAGGCUCCUGACUGAACUGAUGCAGAAAUCACCACCAUCUCUCAUUUCCUUGGCUGGAGGAGCUCCAAAUCCUAACACUUUCCCCUUUAAGACCGCAAAGAUCACCAUAGACGAUGGAACUGCCAUUGAAUUUGGGGAAGAUUUAAUGAAGAGAGCGCUUCAAUAUUCUGCCUCAGCAGGGAUUCCAGAGUUGUUGUCCUGGCUGAAAAAGUUUCAGAAUAACCUCCACAAACCCCUCACUGCAGAGUUCAGUCCUGACCAAGGACAAAUGGAGAUAUGCGUCACCACUGGGAGCCAAGAAGGCCUUUGUAAAGUAUUUGAGAUGCUCAUUAACCCUGGAGAUAACAUCCUCUUGGAUACACCUGCUUACCCAGGAACCCUUGCAGCUCUGAGGCCCUUGGGGUGCAACAUCAUCGGCCUGCGCAGCGACCAGGACGGCCUGAUUCCAGAUUCUCUCCGAGCAGCACUUUCCAGGUGGAGACCCGAGGAGGCCCAGAAACCUAACAGGCAGACCCCCAAGUUCCUUUACACAGUUCCAAAUGGCAGCAACCCUACAGGAACGUCCUUACCAUAUGAACGCAAAAAAGAAAUCUACGAGAUGGCAAGAAAAUAUGAUUUUCUCAUCAUAGAAGAUGAUCCAUACUAUUUUCUCCAAUUCAACAAGCCUUGGGCGCCAACAUUUCUUUCUAUGGAUACUGAUGGUCGUGUCAUAAGAACUGAUUCUUUCUCAAAAAUUCUCUCUUCAGGGUUGAGGAUAGGUUUUAUAACUGGUCCCAAGCCUCUGAUUGAUAAGAUAGUUUUGCACAUGCAAGUUUCAACAAUGCACACUAGCACUUUUACACAGCUGCUGAUUGCCCAGCUUCUGCAACAGUGGGGAGAGGAGGGUUUCCUGAAGCAUGUAGACAGGGUGAUAGCCUUCUAUAAGGGGCAGCGGGACGCCAUGCUGACAGCUGCAGACAAGUGGCUCAAAGGUUUGGCAGAAUGGCAUGUCCCUGUUGCUGGGAUGUUUUUGUGGCUUAAGAUUAAAGGUAUUUCUGAUACAAAGCAACUGAUUAUGGAAAAGGCCUUACAAAAAGAGGUAUUACUAGUUCCUGGGGAUGCAUUCUCUAUUGAUGAUUCAAAACCUAGUCCCUAUGUCAGAGCUUCCUUCUCUUUGUCUUCUCCAGAACAAAUGGACCAGGCUUUUCAGAGACUGGCUGAACUUAUAAAAGAGUCUUUAUGAAGGAAGAAAAAGCAGAAUCAUUUUACUCAUGGACUUCCACAUUGUCAAUUUUCAUAUUUCACAAAGAAGAAAUUGGUGGAACAAAGAGAAUGAAUGGCCAGAAAAAGGAGAAAGGAUGUUCUACAGGAAAAAAAUAAGGAAUAAUAAACUGGAGGAAUUCCAUGGAGACUGGAACAACCUCCAGGAAGUGAUGCAGAGUAAAAGGAGCAGAACCAGGAGAACAUUGUACACAGAGACUAAUACACUGUGGUACAAUCGAACGUAAUGGACUUCUUUAGUGGCAAUGCAGUGAUCCUGAACAACCUGGAGGAAUCUACGAGAAAGAACACUAUCCACAUUCAGAGGAAAACUGUGGGAGCAAAAACACAGAAGAAAAACAACUGCUUGAUUACAUGGGUGGAGGGGAUAUGGUUGGGGAUGCAGACUCUAAAUGAACAUCCUAGUGCAAUUAUCAAUAAUAUGGAAAUAGGUCUUGAUCAAUGACACAGUUGUAAAACCCAGUGGAAUUGUGCAUCGGCUAUGGGAAGAGAUGAGGGAAGGGAAAGAAUGUGAAUCUUGUAACCAUUGAAAAAUAUUCUAAAUUAAUUAACUUAAUUAAUUUUUUAAAGAAAAUUUCUGUUUACUGAGACAAAAAAUAAAAGGAAUCCCUGCUCUAAGAAUCCUCUAGGUUGCAAAAGUACCCAUCAGCAGAAAUAAAGAGAAUUCUUCAUCUGGAAUUUCCAACCAAAUUACAGAUCUAGUACCUAUUCCUACUAUUCUUAAAACAUAUCAGACCUUGAACUUGCAAACAAUUCAACAUAAACAGCUGCCCUUAUUGAAGAGAAAUUGCCCAUUCUCAGUUUGGGCUGUGAACUCAGCUGACUUUCCCAGCCAAAUUAAUAGUUCAAUGUGCCACAGAGGGAAAAAAUAGUUUUGAGAAUCACUAAUAUAGUUCUGGCAACAGUGUGUGGGUCUGUUGGGUAAAUCAUGAGGAAACUCACCUCCAAUGGAAUAAUGAAAAUAAUCCACUAAGAAGCAGAAGGCUAGUGAUGGACAUUCAUGGAAGAAGUGGCCACACCAAUGAAACCUCAAAUCCUAAAAGAAUUAACGCAUAAGAAUUCAUAUUUUAGCGUUGCUUGGAGAGUUUGCAAUAUUUAAUUUAAAGGAACUGUGGGAAAAUUCCUUGUCUUAAUUUGAGUUAUGCAAAAUCUGAUUUUUCUAGAGAUUUUUUAAAGUGGAGCACCCCUGUAUUUGGUGUUCAAAAUUAAUGUUUAAAUAUUUCAAACUUACAUCGAGUUGCCUCAUUUCUUGAAAAAUGAAUAAAUGCAAUCAGAAUGAAGACUGUACUUGUUAGAGCCUGGACAGUUCAAAAGAACAUAUAGGCUACAGAAACAAGUACACAGCUCUAAAAUCCCUUUCGUCUCUCAAAAUAUAUAGUCAUAUUGGAAGGAGUCCCAGAUUUGGAGUCAGAAAGUCCUGAGUUCAAAUUCAUCCUCAGACACUUCCUAGCUCUGUUAUUCUGGGCAAAUCAUUUAACCUCUGCCUCUUUUUCCUCAUCUCCUAGGGUUGCUAAAAGGAUAAAAUAAAAUGAUAAUUAUAAGACAUUUUGCAAAACUUAAAGCAAUAUAUAAAUGCUAGCUGUUAUUUACAAAAUGUUAUGGAAUUUUAAUUAUCUUUUUGGGAAAAUUGAUUGUCAUUGACCGUAGUCGAAACAAGUACCCUUUUCCUUACCCUAAAUUCACAUUCUAUCCCAUAUCUUGAUUUCCUUCCUUGCUUACACCUGAAUUGCGAUCUUCUUUGGAGUAUUAGUUGCUAUAAUUAAAAAGCAAACAUCUAAUUGAAUCAUUUAAAGAGGAAGAGUUUGGGUUCUCCCUGAAUUUUUAAAAACAUAAUUAUAAAGGCCCUUUCAAAGCACCAUAUGGUUUGUUGUAGCACAGUAAACACAUUUUUAAUGGCAUUAAGCCCAGGGAAUUCAGCUGUGAACAGCCAGAGGGAAGAAGCGAAAAAAUUAUCUAGGCCAGGGUGAUGAAGAUGGGGCGAGUUCAAAGACAAUGUGUUUAAACCUUGAAGACACACCCAGAUGCCGUGGUUUGUAACCAGCAGUAACUUCUAAAAUUAAGAACUUAUUUUUUAAAAAAAUCCAGCAGGAUAAAUAUGAAUCGAAGGGUUUUAGAACCUUUUUUAAGGAUGUAUAAACCCAACUUCAUCACAACGAGCCAAUGAAAGUGAGUGUCCCAGGACACAAAUGAGUUCGGCAUUAAUUCACUUUAUAAUUCUUUUCAUUCCUAUUGCCAACGAAUAAAAGAAUGGAUAAAAAAAAAAAGGUGAUCAUUAAGUGCUUACACUAUGUCAAGCAUUGGUCUAACAGCUGUA